rnacentral:lncRNA from 1 species
AUUCUCGAGUUCAAGAUAUAAAAAGAUUCAACCUGAGUUCACAAAUUCAGGUAUUGUAUAAAAGAAUCACAAUACCUUGCAGCAAUAGAAACCUGAGGAAUUCAAUCCUUCACAAGAGAAUUAUUGAAUUGGACUAUCACAUUUUUAAUUAAAAACCAAGGUCAGGAUGCUGAUCAGUCAUACCUAACCCCGAGCAGGCCCCGCCAUGCUCUAUCACUGGAUCCAAGGCACUCAUUGGCCUAUCAUGACCACUCAUUUGGUCUGACCACUCAUCUGGUCCACAUGUUUAUAUAAAAACAAUAAUCCAAUUCUAUAAUUCAGUUCAUGAAACCAAUGU